AUGGCCCGCAUUGCGGCGUUCUUGCUGGUGGCCCUGCUCUCCUUAGCCGGGCAUCUCGCGCAGUCCGCGCCAUGCCGAUCAUGCCCGCCCACAAAGCCUUCCCAGCCUGCACCGUGUAAGCACAAGUCCUCACCAUCGUCCAUACCCUGCCCUCCACCUUCACAAACUCCCAUGCCCUCAACCACACCCACACUCACCCCGGUGACUCCGACGCCGGCACCGACCCCGACUGUCUUCAUCCCUCCACCUACAAACACUCCGGCACCCACGCCCAUACCGGCCUCUGUAACUCCAACAUCGGCACCGACCCCUAUGAUGCCUCCAAUACCAACCCCUAUAACUCCAACACCGGUACCAGCUCCUCUCUCUCCAACACCAACACCGGUGGCCCCAACACCUACAACCAUGAUGCCGCCGACACAGAUGCCUAUGGCACCAACGCCGGCACCGACCCCUGUAUCUCCAACGCCAAACCCGGUGGCCCCAAGACCUAUCUGUUGGGGAACGUUGCAGAAAACAAAAAAUUUCCUACUCGUUUCACCAAGAUCAUCUAGGAGUUCAUCUAGCAACGAGUGA
rnacentral:rRNA from 1 species